CGGGUGAGUAACACGUAUGCAACCUGCCUGCCACAGCCGGAGUAAUCGGGAGAAAUUCCGUCUAAUACGGCAUAAUGCAUCGACGGGACAUCCUGUUGGUGCCAAAGGUUGAUUCCGGUGGCGGAUGGGCAUGCGUCGCAUUAGUUAGUUGGCGGUGUAACGGACCACCAAGACGACGAUGCGUAGGGGUUCUGAGAGGAAGGUCCCCCCACAUUGGAACUGAGACACGGUCCAAACUCCUACGGGAGGCAGCAG
rnacentral:rRNA from 1 species